GUUAAGAUAGUUAAAGUUUAUAACGAAACUUUGAAGAAGUUUUAUUGAAGAAAAUUAUUCUUCUCGUAACA
rnacentral:tRNA from 1 species